rnacentral:rRNA from 1 species
AUACGGAGGGGGCUAGCGUUGUUCGGAAUUACUGGGCGUAAAGCGCGCGUAGGCGGAUCGUUAAGUCAGGGGUGAAAGCCCGGAGCUCAACUCCGGAACUGCCCUUGAUACUGGCGAUCUCGAGUCCGGGAGAGGUGAGCGGAAUUCCUAGUGUAGAGGUGAAAUUCGUAGAUACUAGGAGGAACACCAGUGGCGAAGGCGGCUCACUGGCCCGGUACUGACGCUGAGGUGCGAAAGCGUGGGGAGCAAACAGGAUUAGAUACCCUAGUAGUCC